UACGUAGGGUGCGAGCGUUGUCCGGAAUUAUUGGGCGUAAAGAGCUCGUAGGCGGCCUGUUGCGUCUGCUGUGAAAGCCCGGGGCUCAACUCCGGGUCUGCAGUGGAUACGGGCAGGCUAGAGUCCGGCAGGGGAGACUGGAAUUCCUGGUGUAGCGGUGAAAUGCGCAGAUAUCUGGAGGAACACCGGUGGCGAAGGCGGGUCUCUGGGCCGGUACUGACGCUGAGGAGCGAAAGCGUGGGGAGCAAACAGG
rnacentral:rRNA from 1 species